UAUGGCCAUAUCAUGUUGAAACAUCGGCUCUCGUCCGAUAACAGAAGUUAAGCAACGUCGAGCUUGAUUAGUAACUAGAUAGGUGACCUCUUGUAAAUACCAGGUGUU